AGAUAAUAGAUACCCCGGUAGUCCACGCCCUAAACGAUGUCUACUAGUUGUUGGUGGAGUAAAAUCCAUGAGUAACGCAGCUAAACGCGUGAAGUAGACCGCCUGGGGAGUACGGUCGCAAGAUUAAAACUCAAGGAAUUGACGGGGGCCCGCACAAGCGGUGGAUUAUGUGGAUUAAAUUCGAUGCAACGCGAAAAACCUUACCUGGCCUUGACAUGCCACUAACGAAGCAGAGAUGCAUUAGGUGCCCGUAAGGGAAAGUGGACACAGGUGCUGCAUGGCUGUCGUCAGCUCGUGUCGUGAGAUGUUGGGUUAAGUCCCGCAACGAGCGCAACCCUUGCCAUUAAUUGCCAUCAUUUAGUUGGGCACUUUAAUGGGACUGCCGGUGACAAACCGGAGGAAGGUGGGGAUGACGUCAAGUCCUCAUGGCCCUUAUGGCCAGGGCUUCACACGUAAUACAAUGGUCGGUACAGAGAGUUGCCAACCCGCGAGGGGAGCUAAUCUCAGAAAGCCGAUCGUAGUCCGGAUUGUUCUCUGC
rnacentral:rRNA from 1 species